AUUGAACGCUGGCGGCAGGCCUAACACAUGCAAGUCGAGCGGAUGAAGGGAGCUUGCUCCUGGAUUCAGCGGCGGACGGGUGAGUAAUGCCUAGGAAUCUGCCUGGUAGUGGGGGAUAACGUCCGGAAACGGGCGCUAAUACCGCAUACGUCCUGAGGGAGAAAGUGGGGGAUCUUCGGACCUCACGCUAUCAGAUGAGCCUAGGUCGGAUUAGCUAGUUGGUGGGGUAAAGGCCUACCAAGGCGACGAUCCGUAACUGGUCUGAGAGGAUGAUCAGUCACAUUGGAACUGAGACACGGUCCAGACUCCUACGGGAGGCAGCAGUGGGGAAUAUUGGACAAUGGGCGAAAGCCUGAUCCAGCCAUGCCGCGUGUGUGAAGAAGGUCUUCGGAUUGUAAAGCACGUUAAGUUGGGAGGAAGGGCAGUAAGUUAAUACCUUGCUGUUUUGACGUUACCAACAGAAUAAGCACCGGCUAACUUCGUG
rnacentral:rRNA from 1 species